rnacentral:lncRNA from 1 species
AUUUGGAAGAGAAUAACACUUAAAGUGAUUCUUUUUUUCAGCUGCAUUGGGAAGAGACACAGAGGAGAGAAACGUAGUCAACUGCAGCAUGGGAACAAAUCUGCUGGCCAGCAACCAAUUAGAACCCCAGAAAGCUGGCAGACGGCUGGCCAAUCAGUGGUGAGCACUUGUUGUUAGGAAGGCAUGGGCAGAUUUUGAGGUAAAGGAAGAGGAACAUGUUAAAAUAUGAGGUAGGAUUAUUCUUUUCACUGUCUGAAUGCCUUUUUUUGACAGCUACAGAAGGGGUAAGUUUUCUAAAAGGGGCAACUGAAAAAAGCCCUGUCUGAUUGCACCCUAAAUCACAGAGGGACAAACCACAUUAUGUUUAAAGGAAACUUACAUUCUGAUAUGACCUGUUCAAAUAUGCAGCUAGAAAAAGGAUGAGGAGCUGUUCUUGGAAGGCAGUCACUGGAGGCUGCCAGACAGUGCUUAACACAUUGGUGGAUAGUCCAGAGUCACUGCAUUUCCCUCCCUCUCUUUCUGCUGUGAGCAGAGGUAUAAACUGCUGGUGUGCAGAAGAUUUUCCCUUCUUUUAUUCUUCUACAGAUAUUACUCUGCCUCCUGGGUCUGGCUCCUAUCUUCUCCUGUGGAAGCCAAGGAUUCUAUUAGAAAGAAGAAACUAAAGUUAGUUGGGGAUUGUUAGUAACAGUAACUUUGUGAUGAAGCUUGAAGAGAGAAAAGAGUUUUACAAAAAACUGCUGCUUGGCCAAACUUGUGAGAGAAUAUUAGAAAGCUAAAAGAAAACAGAUAUAGAUCUCUGAGAAGUAUGCUUAACUGAGGAAGCCUCUAGACAUCAUGGGGUAACUUCAGAUUUUUAAAACCAAGUUGGAGUUGCCCUGAAGUGGGUCAAAAGAAGCCACUAGAAUUCCCCGACAUAUCUGACAUUGUGCUGGAACUCCUGUUGUUAUUGGGUACCACUGAGUCAUGGCCAACUCCUGGUUGACUACAUAGGUGCUUCCAUGGCACCUCUAUGCAGUUUUCUUGGCAGAGAUACAGAGGUGGUUUUCCAUUGCUUACUUCUGGGGAGAGACUGGGAAUCAAACUGGCAACCUCUGCUUUCCAGGCAAUCUGCGCUACCACUAAGCUACAGCCAUUCUCGAUGGAACUCCUAGACUUUCUUAUAAAUGCCUAGUUUCUGGGGAAAGAACCUGGAGAACAUCCUACUGGGUUGCCAGCAUUAUGCUACCUUUUUAAGCACAUCCAGUAUGUCCCUUAAUUGAAGACAAACUGAAAAUAUACAAGAGAAACUCUUCUCGCAGGCACACAGGCAUUUAAAAAUCAAGAUUUUUUUUUUUUUACUUAAGAUGCUUUUACAAGCACCACAUGCAAGAUGUUUUUUAACUAAUAUAUGUCCUUGAAUUCCUAUUACAACUCUCAGAUUUGUAUAGAUUUAUAAAUGUUAUAACUGGAACAA